CAAACUACCACCGCCGAGCAAGGACUAACAGUCACAUGAGGAGAUCAAAUAACAGCAGGAUUUGAAUCGCACCGGAUGGGAUGGAUGGAGAAUAUGUCUGGGAGGUGGAAAGGCAGAAUCCAGCCACCUGUUGCUGACACGACGACGACGGAGAACCUGUUUGGAGGCUCCCAUGAUGUAGGAGUAACCUCUCUGAGUUGAGCCCUUGACAAGGAGGGACGAGUCUUGGGUUCAUGAACUACAGGCCCGACGGCGACAGAAUCCAUGCCCAAACCACCCACAUGUAACAGCGAACCAAUGCACGAAGAUCACCUGAACCACCCGAAUCCAUGCUAGGCUAUCAAUAAUCUUGAAUUUUUAAAAUUGUAUUAUGACUACCAAUUUUUACUUUACUUUUGCACAUGAUGAAAAUUGUAUGACCUUGUAGCACAUGACCAAAAGUAUUAGCUCAGGAUUUCUAUGGAUAG
ensembl:lncRNA